CAUUGCUGUGAGGAAGCCUGGGCUACAUGGAGAAGCCCACAUGAAGAGGCCCAUGUGGAGAGGAACUGAGGCCCUGACACUUGGCCCCAUCUGCACUACCAGCUGAUAGCCAGCAUGAGCCUGCCAGCCAGAUAUGAGGACAUGAAUUGCCUUGGACUUUUACCCUAAAGGUUGUGGAUCAGGAAAGGUCCUAAACAAAGCACAGGGGAAUGGCACUAAUCUCACCAGUAAGGUGUGUAGCCAAACCAGCUGUUCCCUGUUAAGAACUGUAAAAUAGCCUCAGGCAAGUCCUUCAGGAGGUGUGGACAAGAAGGCAUUGCUAUCACAGGAGACGACAGCUCCAUGCAUGUUCCUGUCCCUGAAGGCCUUCCAGUCAGUCAAGAUGUGGAGGCGGAAGACAGUGAUAUUAAUGAUCCUGACCCUGGUGCAGUGACUACAUGUAUGAAAUGAGCCUGCAAGAGUGUUAUAUCAAGAUAAAAGGGUCAUAUAUGUGCCAUAAUUGGUCAUCGAAUGGCUUGACACUGAUGUGUCAGAACAGUUCAACACCAAUUGUUAAAUAUUGGGAAAUUUUGUGAGCCAAUCAUGGAGCAUUUACCCAAUGGAAGUCAGUAAACACGACACACCAGGGGUUCCCCUCACUCCCACCCAAGCCGGUUUACCAGCACCCUGCUGACUUGAGGUGGGAGGAACAGUGGAGGGAGGUUGCUAUUUACCACCUUACAAAUGUUGGAAACCACAAAUUGAGAUUUCUCUGUACCGGCAGAGAAUACCAAAGAUUAUGCCAACGUCUCUGGUUACUUUGGAUUUGAUUUAUAAAUAGAAUUUUACUAAAGCUGGGACAAUAAGGCUGCAUUUAAGGGCAUUUCUAUCUUGCCAAACAAACAUUGGGAGCUACAAAAGAAAUCCAAAGUGUUCGCAGUGGAUCGUUUAAUUUACCUUCUGCUUAAAAUAAUGUAUGGUGGCCACUAUAUUUAUAUAGUUGGGAAAAAAAAGGAAA